UCCCGCGCUCGCCCUCCUCUCUCCCUCUCGAGCCUCCAUGGAGCCGCCGCCGGUGCUUUCCCGCUCAAUCCCCUUCGCCUACGCCCCGUGGAGCCCGUCUCUGGACCCUCGCAUCAGCCGCCGGCCUCCAACGGGGUGCGGAAGGAGGUGGGCGCGAAGGGCGGAGCAGGUGCGUGUCCCGGAGGAAGGAGGUGGUGGCGCUCUAGGGUCGAGGCUGUCGUCCCCGACCUCGCCAUCAUCCUCCGACUCCAGGCCGCCAAGGUCAUCCUUGACCAGCACGGUCGUCCUCGACCUCCUCAACCAGCAUGAGCAAGCGGAGUGGCCUAACCGUCGCCAGUCUGGAGCUCCUCCCUUCGACUUCGUGGCGUGCUCCGCUUCUUUGUUGUCACCGAGGACGCCCGACAGCGGCACAACAGCCUCUUCUUCAAAGAAGACCAUCAGCUGUGGAGUCCCUCAUGGUCGUGUCCGAUGAGGCGGAGGAGGAAGCCCUCCAUAGUGCUGCUGAUACUAGAGACGGCGGCGAGGUGAGCAUGGAGAAGCAGCAUAGCGGUGGGACACCCCGUCGCCUCUCGUGGCCAUGUUGGCUGCCAUCGUCUGCGAGCUGCUUGACAUGGAGUCUGUUGCCAGAGAGGAGGUGCGCUUCAGCUGCGUCGGCUCCAAGCUGAAGGAGUUGGCAAUGAUUCACGAGAAGAAACCAAUACUUCAGCAUCCCCAAGCAAGCUCGGUGGCGUUGUCACAAAGAUGGUUCAAAUCAUCUUAAAUGGAAGAGAGCGAUAUUGAUUUAUCACUGCUACAACAAAUGAACUAUUACUUGAGUCUCUUCUCGAUGUCCUUCCUUGCCGAGGUUUUGGUGUGUUUAGGACUUGAAGUCUUGAACUGAACCACAAGCGAGCAGGCUGAAGAAUAUGUGCAGCUAAAAGCUCCUUCGGAGAAAAGAAGAGCCAAGAGGAAGCUUUCCAUCUUCAACACAUAGAAGUAUUGCAGAACAAUAGCAACAUCAAGCAAUUUUGCUAUCCGCUCAUCAAGAAUUGGGAGCUAACUCUUUUUUUCCGCUGUAUGUGCGUUACAAAAACAGUAGGAGGAGAGGCGUGCAUGGACCAAUGCCAAGCGACCACAGGCCUGAAUCGUGGAGCUUCAUCUGUUAACCGAUGGCAAUGAGCAUAGGCGCGAGGAGGUGGUCUUGAGGAGAAGCUGCUUGAUGAGGUUGGUCUGUCGCCGAGCUUGACUGCAAGAUCCUCAUCUCUGUCUGCUGCAUGAGUAAGGUUGAAAUGGUCAAACAGGUUGAGACACUGGCAAUCUCUCUUGAGCUGCUCAAUUGAGCCUGAACCCAAUAAUGACGUGAAGUAAGGGGUUUAACUAAGCUGCAAAUGGAACAGCACAGGUCAUCGCUGUAUCUGAACUCACAUGUAAAGCAUGUACCCAAGAUCUUAUCUUCAUCAUGAUUCAUGUCUACUCACUAUUCCUGUUAAGAUUUACUUUAUACUCCAUACUCUUAUGCUUGGAUAAUUAAAUAUGAUGUCUCCAUUCUUUUCUCUUUAUCAUCUAGACUGCUGCAAAUUUUUAAAAGAUGCUUAGGCUUUGACAUGCACUCUAAUUUUUUUCUCUUUAUCCUCUGUUCUGCUGCAAUUUCCGUGCAUCAGUCACAAUACAGACUGCUGGUCUUGGUUACAUGCUUUACAAGUGAGAUCAAUCUUGCCAGAUGGAAGGCCCAUGCCUUACUUCAUGUCCUGAAAUAACAUUGGCUAAACAUGCUUAUCUUAGGUCUACAGUGUGCUAUUGUAUAAAUUGUUUGUCUAUGAAGACCACUGAUUUGGAUAAUAUUUAGAUGAGCCACCGGUACUUUUAUUUCUGAUUGAUGUAUGGAGGAUAAAUCUGUUAUACCAGACUAUAUAUACACCGUUGAUUUCACUGGAACUCAAUGCUACAUUUGGGGAUUCUUUACACUGCAUACGUUUGGGGAUAGUUUAAAUCAUUUAACUGAAUCUGUAAAAAAAAGGGAUCAAACACCUGACGGUAGAUAAAUUGCUCCCAUUAUUUUUUAUAAUGCUAGGCUACAGUUUGGUGUUAUCUUUCAGCACCAACAAUUUGUUUUCUUCUAACAAUAUACUUGAUCUAUAAGUAUGAAAGGUUCAACAUUAGUGUGCUUAUAAUAUUGAUUACACAUUUCGGCUUUUAACCAUAUCUUGGUUUAUUAUGAGUGCAUUAGGAUAUUCUUUGCAUCCACAGAACCCUGGUAGGCACACCUACCUAAAAUGAGUAUGGUGAUCAACUAACCAUACUUCUUGCUUGUUCACGCCGUUUUUUAUGAAGAGUUUUAUGCAGUUUGCAUAAGAUCAUGAGGGUAAUUACCAGUUUUCAUGCAUUUUGCUUACAGGAAAUCUAUUGAGACUCAAGAUUGAAGACAAGGGCAAGAUUUUUCUGAAGGCAAAGAUGUUUCUUUAUUCUGAUACAUGAAUGGGUACUUAUUUUUGCAAAUCAGUAAUAGGCGUUAGAAGCUCCGUAGAUUCCCUAAGUUAAAGCAAGGGAAGCAGCCAUCAGCGAAGAGGUUGCUGCCCCAACGAGUGUUCUCGUGUCGCAUGUCCAAAUUGCAGCAACGCGAGGGGCAUGUGUCCUUUUUACAGCUGUCGUCUUACUGAAGAUUGUUGCCUGAGAGCUUACUUCUACGUGUUUCUGCUGCAGUGCCUAUAUAGAUAAUGAUUGUGGGUUCUUCCUUGCUUUUGUUGCUCUCAGUAGAAUCAAUAAAUGUUAGUUGCUAUAAUAUAUUUUCCUCGGUUAUAUAUAAAUGUUUGUUUUUUAUUUAUAAUUUAUUGUGGUUUGCUACGAUUUUGUAAAACCUAAAAAUAUUUCUUAUCAUUUUCUCAUCUACACAUG